rnacentral:rRNA from 1 species
ACUCCUACGGGAGGCAGCAGUGGGGAAUAUUGCACAAUGGGCGCAAGCCUGAUGCAGCCAUGCCGCGUGUAUGAAGAAGGCCUUCGGGUUGUAAAGUACUUUCAGCGGGGAGGAAGGCGAUAAGGUUAAUAACCUUGUUGAUUGACGUUACCCGCAGAAGAAGCACCGGCUAACUCCGUGCCAGCAGCCGCGGUAAUACGGAGGGUGCAAGCGUUCAUCGGAAUUACUGGGCGUAAAGCGCACGCAGGCGGUCUGUCAAGUCGGAUGUGAAAUCCCCGGGCUCAACCUGGGAACUGCAUUCGAAACUGGCAGGCUAGAGUCUUGUAGAGGGGGGUAGAAUUCCAGGUGUAGCGGUGAAAUGCGUAGAGAUCUGGAGGAAUACCGGUGGCGAAGGCGGCCCCCUGGACAAAGACUGACGCUCAGGUGCGAAAGCGUGGGGAGCAAACAGGAUUAGAUACCCCUGUAGUCCCAUG